UACGUAGGGGGCAAGCGUUGUCCGGAUUUACUGGGCGUAAAGCGUGCGCAGGCGGUUUUGUAAGACAGGCGUGAAAUCCCCGAGCUUAACUUGGGAAUGGCGCUUGUGACUGCAGGGCUAGAGUAUGUCAGAGGGGGGUAGAAUUCCACGUGUAGCAGUGAAAUGCGUAGAGAUGUGGAGGAAUACCGAUGGCGAAGGCAGCCCCCUGGGACGUCACUGACGCUCAUGCACGAAAGCGUGGGGAGCAAACAGG
rnacentral:rRNA from 1 species